CCGGGACGGAGAAGGUUAGCUCAGCCAACUGUUGGAUAUGUUGGUUCAAGCCUGUAGUCGUGCCUGGUAGGUAAAUCCGCCGGGCUUAGAUGAGGGGUGAUAACGAGGAAGCUUGCUUCCGAAGUGAGUGAUACCCUGCUUCCAGGAAAAGCCACUAAGCUUCAGCUACACACGACCGUACCGCAAACCGACACUGGUGCGCGAGAUGAGUAUUCUAAGGCGCUUGAGAGAACUCGGGAGAAGGAACUCGGCAAAUUGACACCGUAACUUCGGAAGAAGGUGUGCCUUUAGUAGGUGAAGGGAUUUACUCCUGGAGCCCAAUGAGGUUGCAAAAAAUCGGUGGCUGCGACUGUUUAUUAAAAACACAGCACUCUGCAAACACGAAAGUGGACGUAUAGGGUGUGACGCCUGCCCGGUGCUGGAAGAUUAAAUGAUGGGGUGCAAGCUCUUGAUUGAAGUCCCAGUAAACGGCGGCCGUAACAAUAACGGUCCUAAGGUAGCGAAAUUCCUUGUCGGGUAAGUUCCGACCUGCACGAAUGGCGUAACGAUGGCCACACUGUCUCCUCCCGAGACUCAGCGAAGUUGAAAUGUUUGUGAUGAUGCAAUCUCCCCGCGGAAAGACGGAAAGACCCCAUGAACCUUUACUGUAGCUUUGUAUUGGACUUUGAACGGAUCUGUGUAGGAUAGGUGGGAGGCUUUGAAGCAGGGUCGCUAGAUCUUGUGGAGCCAACGUUGAAAUACCACCCUGGUGCGUUUGAGGUUCUAACCUAGGUCCAUUAUCUGGAUCGGGGACAGUGCAUGGUAGGCAGUUUGACUGGGGCGGUCUCCUCCCAAAGCGUAACGGAGGAGUUCGAAGGUACGCUAGUUACGGUCGGACAUCGUGACGAUAGUGCAAUGGCAUAAGCGUGCUUAACUGCGAGACUGACAAGUCGAGCAGAUGCGAAAGCAGGACAUAGUGAUCCGGUGGUUCUGUAUGGAAGGGCCAUCGCUCAACGGAUAAAAGGUACUCUGGGAAUAACAGGCUGAUACCGCCCAAGAGUUCAUAUCGACGGCGGUGUUUGGCACCUCGAUGUCGGCUCAUCUCAUCCUGGGGCUGUAGCCGGUCCCAAGGGUAUGGCUGUUCGCCAUUUAAAGAGGUACGUGAGCUGGGUUUAAAACGUCGUGAGACAGUUUGGUCCCUAUCUUCCGUGGGCGCUGCAGAUUUGAGGAAGCCUGCUCCUAGUACGAGAGGACCGGAGUGGACACACCUCUGGUGUAUCGGUUGUCACGCCAGUGGCAUUGCCGAGUAGCUAAGUGUGGAAGAGAUAACCGCUGAAAGCAUCUAAGCGGGAAACUUGUUUCAAGAUGAGAUCUGCCGGGGCCUUGAGCCCCCUGAAGAGUCGUUCUAGACCAGGACGUUGAUAGGUCAGGUGUGGAAGUG
rnacentral:rRNA from 1 species